AUUGAACGCUGGCGGCAUGCCCUACACAUGCAAGUCGAACGGCAGCACGGGAGCAAUCCUGGUGGCGAGUGGCGAACGGGUGAGUAAUGUAUCGGAACGUGCCUUGUCGUGGGGGAUAACGGUAGCGAAAGCUACGCUAAUACCGCAUACCAUCUAAGGAUGAAAAGCGGGGGAUCGCAAGACCUCGCGCGACAAGAGUGGCCGAUAUCAGAUUAGGUUGUUGGUGGGUAAAGGCCUACCAAGCCGACGAUCUGUAGCUGGUCUGAGAGGACGACCAGCCACACUGGGACUGAGACACGGCCCAGACUCCUACGGGAGGCAGCAGUGGGGAAUUUUGGACAAUGGGCGAAAGCCUGAUCCAGCAAUGCCGCGUGCAGGAUGAAGGCCUUCGGUUGUAAACUGCUUUGUACUAGAACGAAACAAGUCUACUCCUAAUACGGGGGCGAAUGACGGUACUCGUAAGAAUAAG
rnacentral:rRNA from 1 species